UACAGAGGGUGCAAGCGUUGUUCGGAAUUACUGGGCGUAAAGGGCUCGUAGGCGGCCAACUAAGUCAGACGUGAAAUCCCUCGGCUUAACCGGGGAACUGCGUCUGAUACUGGAUGGCUUGAGUGUGGGAGAGGGAUGCGGAAUUCCAGGUGUAGCGGUGAAAUGCGUAGAUAUCUGGAGGAACACCGGUGGCGAAGGCGGCAUCCUGGACCAUUACUGACGCUGAGUGAGCGAAAGCCAGGGGAGCAAACGGG
rnacentral:rRNA from 1 species